rnacentral:rRNA from 1 species
UGGGGAAUUUUGGACAAUGGGCGCAAGCCUGAUCCAGCAAUGCCGCGUGCAGGAUGAAGGCCUUCGGGUUGUAAACUGCUUUUGUACGGAACGAAACGGCUCUGUCUAAUACAUGGGGCUAAUGACGGUACCGGAAGAAUAAGCACCGGCUAACUACGUGCCAGCAGCCGCGGUAAUACGUAGGGUGCAAGCGUUAAUCGGAAUUACUGGGCGUAAAGCGUGCGCAGGCGGUUGUGUAAGUCAGAUGUGAAAUCCCCGGGCUCAACCUGGGAAUUGCAUUUGAGACUGCACGGCUAGAGUGUGUCAGAGGGGGGUAGAAUUCCACGUGUAGCAGUGAAAUGCGUAGAUAUGUGGAGGAACACCGAUGGCGAAGGCAGCCCCCUGGGUCAAGAUUGACGCUCAUGCACGAAAGCGUGGGGAGCAAACA